UCCACAGCCUCUCUGGGCAGCCUGUUCCAGUGCGUGGUCACUGCACAGUGAAGAAGUUCUUCCUCAUGUUCAGCUGGAACUUCUUGUGCAUCGGUUUCUGCCCAUUUUCUGUUGUCCU